rnacentral:misc_RNA from 1 species
ACAAACUUGGUCAUUUAGAGGAAGUAAAAGUCGUAACAAGGUUUCCGUAGGUGAACCUGCGGAAGGAUCAUUACCGAGUUAGGGUAGUCACUUACUGCCCGACCUCCCAACCCUGUGUCUACCACACUUUGUCGUUGCUUCGGCGGACCGGUUGACCAACUGGUCGUGACCGCCGGGGGCUGGCUCUGUCCCCCCUGGAGAGCGUCCGCCGAUGGCCCAACCACAAAACUCUUGUACCGAAACGUGUCGUCUGAAUUGUGAGAAAUCAAAAAACAAAACUUUCAACAACGGAUCUCUUGGUUCUGGCAUCGAUGAAGAACGCAGC